GACGAACGCUGGCGGCGUGCUUAACACAUGCAAGUCGAACGGAAAGGCCCCUUUUGGGGUACUCGAGUGGCGAACGGGUGAGUAACACGUGAGUAACCUUCCCUUGUCUUCGGGAUAACUUCAGGUAACUGGGGCUAAUACCGGAUAGGAAUCCUUGCUGCAUGGUGGGGGUUGUUAAGCUUCGGCGGUUUUGGAUGUACUCGCGUCUUAUCAGCUUGUUGGUGGGGUAGUGGCUUACCAAGGCUUUGACCGGUAUCCGGCCUGGGAGGGCGACCGGCCAAAUUGGGACUGAGAUACGGCACAGAGACGUACGGGAGGAAGAAGUGGGGAAGAUUGAACAAUGGGCGGAAGCCUGAUGAAGCAAGGCCGCGGGCGGGAUGACGGCCUUAGGGUUGUAAAACGCUAUCAGCAGGGGAGAAGCUUGUGGUGACGGUACCUGCAGAAGAAGCACCGGCUAACUACGUG
rnacentral:rRNA from 1 species